UACGAAGGGUGCUAGCGUUGUUCGGAAUGACUGGGCGUAAAGGGCGCGUAGGCGGUUCGUACAGUCAGGCGUGAAAUUCCCGGGCUUAACCUGGGGGCUGCGUUUGAUACGUGCGGGCUUGAGUUCGGAGGAGGGUCGUGGAAUUCCCAGUGUAGAGGUGAAAUUCGUAGAUAUUGGGAAGAACACCGGUGGCGAAGGCGGCGACCUGGUCCGAUACUGACGCUGAGGCGCGAAAGCGUGGGGAGCAACAGG
rnacentral:rRNA from 1 species